ACCCAGUCUCCUAUCCCAUCAUCAAGAACGGAUGCAUUGUGGAUGAAACGGUUCGGUUUUUCUUAAGCCACCAACCAUUCGUCCAGUUAGAAAUGGAGGCCUUCAAAUUCAUUGGGUUCCAUGACCAGGUCUUCAUCAGCUGCUCAAUCAUCAUAUGCCAGGCCAACAAUCCCAACACCCGCUGCUCUCAGGGCUGCGUCAACAGCACAGUCGCUCCACCGGCCCACCACCAUCACAAAAGAGAGGCUCCCCUCCAGACCGACAGUCACUUCAUCUCCC
rnacentral:lncRNA from 1 species